CGAUUCUGCAGAUUCAUUCGGAGGAGGAUCGAUUCUACAGAAAUCCGUUCUACAGCACAAAUAUUCUACAGAAUAU